GCUUAACGCGAAGAACCUUACCAGGGCUUGACAUUGAGUGAAAGCGGUAGAGAUAUCGCCCUCCCUUCGGGGACGACAAAAACAAGGUGGUGCAUGGCUGUCGUCAGCUCGUGUCGUGAGAUGUUGGGUUAAGUCCCGCGACGAGCGCAACCCCUACUUCUUUGUUGCCAGCGAGUAAAGUACGGGCGACUCAAAGGAGACUGCCGUCGACAAGACGGAGGAAGGCGGGGAGUGACGUCAAGUCAUCAUGCCCCUUAUGUCCUGGGCUACACACGUACUACAAUGGGCGUAAACAGAGGGAAGCGAGACAGUGAUGUGGAGCCAAACCCAUAAAUACGCUCUCAGUUCGGAUCGGAGGCUGCAACCUCGCCUCGAGAGUACGAUCG
rnacentral:rRNA from 1 species